rnacentral:rRNA from 1 species
UGGGGAAUAUUGGACAAUGGGCGCAAUCCUGAUCCAGCCAUGCCGCGUGAGUGAUGAAGGCCCUAGGGUUGUAAAGCUCUUUCACCGGUGAAGAUAAUGACGGUAACCGGAGAAGAAGCCCCGGCUAUCUUCGUGCCAGCAGCCGCGGUAAUACGAAGGGGGCUAGCGUUGUUCGGAUUUACUGGGCGUAAAGCGCACGUAGGCGGACUUUUAAGUCAGGGGUGAAAUCCCGGGACUCAAUACCGGAACUGCCUUUGAUACUGGAAGUCUUGAGUAUGGUAGAGGUGAGUGGAAUUCCGAGUGUAGAGGUGAAAUUCGUAGAUAUUCGGAGGAACACCAGUGGCGAAGGCGGCUCACUGGACCAUUACUGACGCUGAGGUGCGGAAGCGUGGGGAGCAAACAGG